CCAUCCCUCUGUGUGUUUCCUCCUCCUCUUAGACACACUGGAAAAUCAUGAGACCCAAGACAAGCCAGGGGUAAUUCCCACCCUUGGCCACGGAGAUUUACCCAAGGCAUGCAUGUGACCCAUUCAGGCCAAUUACAGUGUGGGGGUUUCCUACCUGAUCUGGGGGAACGAACCCUUCCUUGGCUCAUCACAGACAGUGAAAAUGGGAACCUAGGCUGUGUGUAUACCACCAUCCACUUUUCUAUUACACACAUUCCAGCCUACAGACUUGAAGAAGGCCCACGCAGCAUCAGGAGGCAAAUCCAGAGCACUGACAAUUGAUUCCACUGAUUGCCAUAGCAAUAAAACAGUGACCACGACAAGCAGUAUCAAAGAAAUAAAUCUGAAUAGAGAAUAAGUAGGGGUACCCAGAGGUGCAGUGACCCCAGCAUUGGACACAUGGAGCUAGCUGCCUGCGAGCAAUAGAACACCUACUAAGACACUUGGGAAAGAAGGCUCCCAGAGGAAGCAGAAGCAAAGACAGGACGCUGCAAAAAAAGCUCUGCUUUCAUCGGUGGACAUGUCAAUGGAAGAUGGGAAGUUGGAAAUGACUUUUGUAGAGCCAUACAAAACUAGUUUUAUGUCUGGACCAGCUUCUAAUUGACAUGUUGGGCAAGUCAUCACAUAUCUUAUUUCUCCCUGAAGUAAAGUUAAUACCGUCUU
rnacentral:lncRNA from 1 species